GGAGGGGGCAGGGUGCAAGCGUGGGGAUCAGACCCCCACGGAGACGUGGGCUGGGAGUUCCAGAACCAUCCGGAACUUUGUCAUGCUACCCUCUGCCAUGUCCUGCUUAAGUGUGAAGGAUCAUUUGGGAAAUAAAUAGAUAAAUACAGGAGAAAAGCUUUAUUAUGUUCAAUCGGAUUCAUGGAGUCUGAGAACAAGCUGCCUGAGGGAAAAAUCCAGAAACGCGAGCUCCAGCCCAUUCAUGGUGCUCAGUUUGGGGGCUGGAGGCGUUGAAGGGGGCAAUGCCCUGGAAUCCUGCUCAGCUCCUGGGACAGCGACUGCUUGGCUGAAGCAUCAAUUAUGGAUACAUGAUAUGUUUUAAAAUCUCGGACAAAGGCAGCAAAGCCAUCCAUCUGCCUUUCGGGACCAGGCUCCCCAGUUGGUGACAGCGAAGCUGCGAGGCUUCCUCUGUUUACCUCUUGCCACGAUGGCCACGUGGACUUGUCUGAGGUCGCAGGGCUGAGAGUCCGGGCACAGCCAGAACUCCCGACCAGCAGGUGUGCACGAGGUCAGGGUGGGCGUCAGGCACCCCAGGGUUCCUGCCAGAGAAAGGGUGCCCUUCCCCACUUGGGAGAAGAAGCUGGAGAGGUUGGACCUAUUGUGAGAGGUUAUUGCUGCUUCUUGAGGGGCUUUCAUGGGGAAUUUAGAAUACAUUCACUUUUGUUUUGUUUUGUUUUUCUAGGGCCGUAGCCACAAUGUAUAGAAGUACCCAGGCUAGGAGCUGCAGCCACUGGCCUACGCCACAGCCACAGCAUCGUCAGAUCCAAGCUGCUUCUGCGACCUACACCAUAGCUCAUGGCAACA
rnacentral:lncRNA from 1 species